rnacentral:lncRNA from 1 species
CAGUGGACUCGGGUUAUAAUUACCAACAGAGGAGAGAAUAACUAUAAGUUAUUUUGAUGUAAAAAGCAUAUUAUCCUAAGCCAACAUAAUAACACAGUUUUUAUGAAGCACAAUAAUUACUUUGAAGACUCACAGAAGUGCAUUUUUCUAAAAGAAGGAGAUUCUCAUACAGAAACAGAUUAACAGAAACAGAAACAGCAACACUAGAGAACAGCAAAAUAGUAACAUUUCAAAUAGUAACAUUUCAAGAAAAUAUAUACACCUUCACAGUAUGUGGUGGUAUCCACUUACUGUCUACUGCCUCCAUAACUCCUAAAGUCUUCUGAAGAUUUAUUAAUGCUUUGAAUAUAUGAGCCACCGUUUCUUUUCACAGCCUUUUCACAACUGGGAAUUCUUUAGAGAAAGGCAAUCUUACCUCAUUUACUUACUUCAUCAGUAAUGCCAUUACUAUGCCUACCUAAGAAGAAAAUAUAUCAUGUGGCAGAGGACUAGAAAGAAAAAACAACAACAAAAGGCUGUGAAGAUUUGAUCAUAUGCCUACGUGUGUGGUGAAUACAAUAUUUCUUUAAUCGCAAUCAGGAAUAUAAAUCUUAUUUUGAUGCUAUGACAUAAUAAAGUGCAUUAUUUUCCUGAAAUU